AUUCAGUGAAUCCAAUGACCACCGUCACAACCACUGGACAAUCGCAAUCAACCACUGAAAAUCCAACGACCACCGUCACAACCAUUACACCACCGCAACCAACCUCUGUGAAUCCAAUUACCAGGGCCGUCACAAGCAACAAGAGACCGCAACCAAACUUUG